GCUGGGCAUGGUGGCGCACGCCUGUAAUCCCAGCUACUUAGGAGGCUGAGGCAGAAGAAUCACUUGAACCCAGGAGGUGGGGGUUGCAGUGAGCCGAGAUCGUGCCAGUGCACUCCAGCCUGGGUGACAGAGCAAGACUCUGUCUCAA
rnacentral:SRP_RNA from 1 species